ACUAUACACACACACACAAGCAAACAACUACACACACAGGAAAGAUAAGUUAGUAAAGUAGAGAAGAAGAAGUCUAGAGAAAAAGAGAAGAGAAAAUUGAAAAGUGAACAGGUUACCAAAGACAAGGAAAUCAAUAAGGAGGAGAGGUCAUGAGUGUGAGUUAUAGCCGACACAAAAGGUCAAGGUUGAGAAGGUAUACAAGGGAGGUCAUGGCUUGGCGUUUGGAGUACUUGGAAGCGUUGGUCUGUGGAUGAGGUCAGAGGUCAGGGCAGUAUAGGAAAGGCGAGAAAUCGUUUAGGAGAGGUCAUGAGUGUGAGUUAUAGACGAUGGAAUAUUAAGGAAGAGAAGGUAUACAAUUUGGAGUACUUAGAAGCGUUGGUCUGUGGAUGAGGUCAGAGGUCAGGGCAGUAUAGGAAAGACAAGGAAAUCGUUUAGGAGAGGUCAUGAGUGUGAGUUAUAGACGAUGGAAUAUUAAGGAAGAGGUUUUCAAUUUGGAGUACUUAGAAGCGUUGGUCUGUGGAUGAGGUCAGAGGUCAGGACAGUAUAGGAAAGGCAAGGAAAUCGUUUAGGAGAGGUCAUGAGUGUGUGUUAUAGACGAUGGAAUAUUAAGGAAGAGAAGGUAUACAAUUUGGAGCACUUAGAAGCGUUGGUCUGUGGAUGAGGUCAGAGGUCAGGGCAGUAUAGGAAAGACAAGGAAAUCGUUUAGGAGAGGUCAUGAGUGUGAGUUAUAGACGAUGGAAUAUUAAGGAAGAGGUUUUCAAUUUGGAGUACUUAGAAGCGUUGGUCUGUGGAUGAGGUCAGAGGUCAGGACAGUAUAGGAAAGACAAGGAAAUCGUUUAGGAGAGGUCAUGAGUGUGAGUUAUAGACGAUGGAAUAUUAAGGAAGAGAAGGUAUACAAUUUGGAGUACUUAGAAGCGUUGGUCUGUGGAUGAGGUCAGAGGUCAGGGCAGUAUAGGAAAGGCGAGAAAUUGAUUAGGAGAGGUCAUGAGUGUGGGUUAUAGACGAUGGAAUAUUAAGGAAGAGAAGGUAUACAAUUUGGAGCACUUAGAAGCGUUGGUCUGUGGAUGAGGUCAGAGGUCAGGACAGUAUAGGAAAGACAAGGAAAUCGUUUAGGAGAGGUCAUGAGUGUAAGUUAUAGACGAUGGAAUAUUAAGGAAGAGAAGGUAUACAAUUUGGAGUACUUAGAAGCGUUGGUCUGUGGAUGAGGUCAGAGGUCAGGGCAGUAUAGGAAAGGCGAGAAAUCGUUUAGGAGAGGUCAUGAGUGUGAGGUAUAGACGCCAUAAAAGGUCAAGGAAGAGAAGGUAUACAAGGGAGGUCAUGGCUUGGCCUGUCUGUGGAUGAGGUCAGGAGGUGCGGCGGAGGUGGAAUAGGACUGAAGGUGGAUGAAAUUUGAUAAGGAGACAGGAUAACACAGGUGAUUAGCUUGGUAAACACACACACACACACACACACACACGCACAUAAACACAUAUACGUACACACACACAAACGCACA